UACGUAGGGUGCGAGCGUUAAUCGGAAUUACUGGGCGUAAAGCGUGCGCAGGCGGCGCGUUAAGACAGGUGUGAAAGCCCCGAGCUUAACUUGGGAAUUGCGCUUGUGACUGGCGUGCUGGAGUGUGGCAGAGGGAGGUGGAAUUCCACGUGUAGCAGUGAAAUGCGUAGAGAUGUGGAGGAACACCGAUGGCGAAGGCA
rnacentral:rRNA from 1 species